GGGUUGUGAGGUUAAGCGACUAAGCGUACACGGUGGAUGCCCUGGCAGUCAGAGGCGAUGAAGGGCGUGCUAAUCUGCGAUAAGCGCCGGUAAGGUGAUAUGAACCGUUAUAACCGGCGAUACCCGAAUGGGGAAACCCAGUGUGAUUCGUCACACUAUCAUUAACUGAAUCCAUAGGUUAAUGAGGCGAACCGGGGGAACUGAAACAUCUAAGUACCCCGAGGAAAAGAAAUCAACCGAGAUUCCCCCAGUAGCGGCGAGCGAACGGGGAGGAGCCCAGAGCCUGAAUCAGCAUGUGUGUUAGUGGAAGCGUCUGGAAAGGCGCGCGAUACAGGGUGACAGCCCCGUACACAAAAGCGCAUGUGCUGUGAGCUCGAUGAGUAGGGCGGGACACGUGGUAUCCUGUCUGAAUAUGGGGGGACCAUCCUCCAAGGCUAAAUACUCCUGACUGACCGAUAGUGAACCAGUACCGUGAGGGAAAGGCGAAAAGAACCCCGGCGAGGGGAGUGAAAAAGAACCUGAAACCGUGUACGUACAAGCAGUGGGAGCCCCACCACUAAGCCAGUGGUGAACUCCACAUACGCAUCCUUUGCUGAGGAUACGGUUAACGGAGCGAAAGCGACGUUCAACCGCAAAACAAGCAGAGGGGGCUUAGUGGUGGGGUGACUGCGUACCUUUUGUAUAAUGGGUCAGCGACUUAUAUUCUGUAGCAAGGUUAACCGAAUAGGGGAGCCGGAGGGAAACCGAGUCUUAAUUGGGCGUUAAGUUGCAGGGUAUAGACCCGAAACCCGGUGAUCUAGCCAUGGGCAGGUUGAAGGUUGGGUAACACUAACUGGAGGACCGAACCGACUAAUGUUGAAAAAUUAGCGGAUGACCUGUGGCUGGGGGUGAAAGGCCAAUCAAACCGGGAGAUAGCUGGUUCUCCCCGAAAGCUAUUUAGGUAGCGCCUCGUGAAUUCAUCUCCGGGGGUAGAGCACUGUUUCGGCUAGGGGGCCAUCCCGGCUUACCAACCCGAUGCAAACUGCGAAUACCGGAGAAUGUUAUCACGGGAGACACACGGCGGGUGCUAACGUCCGUCGUGAAGAGGGAAACAACCCAGACCGCCAGCUAAGGUCCCAAAGUCAUGGUUAAGUGGGAAACGAUGUGGGAAGGCCCAGACAGCCAGGAUGUUGGCUUAGAAGCAGCCAUCAUUUAAAGAAAGCGUAAUAGCUCACUGGUCGAGUCGGCCUGCGCGGAAGAUGUAACGGGGCUAAACCAUGCACCGAAGCUGCGGCAGCGAACGUAUCACUUAAAGCGAUUCAGCGGGUUACGAUUGACGGAGCGAAGCGACGUCAAAGCGUAUACAAAGUCGAGUCGGUUUAAGGAUACGUUCGUUGGGUAGGGGAGCGUUCUGUAAGCCUGCGAAGGUGGCCUGUGAGGGUUGCUGGAGGUAUCAGAAGUGCGAAUGCUGACAUAAGUAACGAUAAAGCGGGUGAAAAGCCCGCUCGCCGGAAGACCAAGGGUUCCUGUCCAACGUUAAUCGGGGCAGGGUGAGUCGACCCCUAAGGCGAGGCCGAAAGGCGUAGUCGAUGGGAAACGGGUUAAUAUUCCCGUACUUGGUGUUACUGCGAAGGGGGGACGGAGAAGGCUAUGUUGGCCGGGCGACGGUUGUCCCGGUUUAAGCGUGUAGGUGUGUGUUCCAGGUAAAUCCGGUUCACUUUAACACUGAGGCGUGACGACGAGGCACUACGGUGCUGAAGCAACAAAUGCCCUGCUUCCAGGAAAAGCCUCUAAGCAUCAGGUAACAUCAAAUCGUACCCCAAACCGACACAGGUGGUCAGGUAGAGAAUACCAAGGCGCUUGAGAGAACUCGGGUGAAGGAACUAGGCAAAAUGGUGCCGUAACUUCGGGAGAAGGCACGCUGACACGUAGGUGAAGUGAUUUACUCAUGGAGCUGAAGUCAGUCGAAGAUACCAGCUGGCUGCAACUGUUUAUUAAAAACACAGCACUGUGCAAACACGAAAGUGGACGUAUACGGUGUGACGCCUGCCCGGUGCCGGAAGGUUAAUUGAUGGGGUCAGCGCAAGCGAAGCUCCUGAUCGAAGCCCCGGUAAACGGCGGCCGUAACUAUAACGGUCCUAAGGUAGCGAAAUUCCUUGUCGGGUAAGUUCCGACCUGCACGAAUGGCGUAAUGAUGGCCAGGCUGUCUCCACCCGAGACUCAGUGAAAUUGAACUCGCUGUGAAGAUGCAGUGUACCCGCGGCAAGACGGAAAGACCCCGUGAACCUUUACUAUAGCUUGACACUGAACAUUGAGCCUUGAUGUGUAGGAUAGGUGGGAGGCUUUGAAGUGUGGACGCCAGUCUGCAUGGAGCCGACCUUGAAAUACCACCCUUUAAUGUUUGAUGUUCUAACGUGGACCCGUAAUCCGGGUUGCGGACAGUGUCUGGUGGGUAGUUUGACUGGGGCGGUCUCCUCCUAAAGAGUAACGGAGGAGCACGAAGGUUGGCUAAUCCUGGUCGGACAUCAGGAGGUUAGUGCAAUGGCAUAAGCCAGCUUGACUGCGAGCGUGACGGCGCGAGCAGGUGCGAAAGCAGGUCAUAGUGAUCCGGUGGUUCUGAAUGGAAGGGCCAUCGCUCAACGGAUAAAAGGUACUCCGGGGAUAACAGGCUGAUACCGCCCAAGAGUUCAUAUCGACGGCGGUGUUUGGCACCUCGAUGUCGGCUCAUCACAUCCUGGGGCUGAAGUAGGUCCCAAGGGUAUGGCUGUUCGCCAUUUAAAGUGGUACGCGAGCUGGGUUUAGAACGUCGUGAGACAGUUCGGUCCCUAUCUGCCGUGGGCGCUGGAGAACUGAGGGGGGCUGCUCCUAGUACGAGAGGACCGGAGUGGACGCAUCACUGGUGUUCGGGUUGUCAUGCCAAUGGCACUGCCCGGUAGCUAAAUGCGGAAGAGAUAAGUGCUGAAAGCAUCUAAGCACGAAACUUGCCCCGAGAUGAGUUCUCCCUGAGACUUAGAGUCUCCUGAAGGAACGUUGAAGACGACGACGUUGAUAGGCCGGGUGUGUAAGCGCAGCGAUGCGUUGAGCUAACCGGUACUAAUGAACCGUGAGGCUUAACCUUACAACGCCGAAG
rnacentral:rRNA from 1 species